rnacentral:rRNA from 1 species
UACGGAGGGUGCGAGCGUUGUCCGGAAUUAUUGGGCGUAAAGGGUAGGUAGGUGGUAAUAAAAGUCUGGGGUGAAAUCCCUGAGCUCAACUCAGGACGUGCCUUGGAAACUUUAUUACUAGAGUGCUGGAGAGGUCCGCAGAAUUCCCGGUGUAGCGGUGAAAUGCGUAGAGAUCGGGAGGAAUACCAGAGGCGAAGGCGGCGGACUGGACAGUCACUGACACUCAACUACGAAAGCGUGGGUAGCAAACAGG